CACGUAGGGUGCGAGCGUUGUCCGGAAUUAUUGGGCGUAAAGAGCUCGUAGGCGGUGUGUCGCGUCGGCCGUGAAAACCUGCAGCUUAACUGUGGGCUUGCGGUCGAUACGGGCAUCACUGGAGUUCGGCAGGGGAGACUGGAAUUCCUGGUGUAGCGGUGGAAUGCGCAGAUAUCAGGAGGAACACCGGUGGCGAAGGCGGGUCUCUGGGCAGUAACUGACGCUGAGGAGCGAAAGCGUGGGGAGCGAACAGG
rnacentral:rRNA from 1 species